UGGAUAUAUCUGUCCAUUGCCUGAUACUGU
rnacentral:piRNA from 1 species